AGCUCCCUCCAUGGCCUCCUGCAGGGCUUGAGGUGCUCAGGCUUCCCACACUGCUGCCCCAUGCAGUGCCAGGGCAGUGCUACACUUGUAAUCUGCGGCGCCAUGCCCGGUCUGAGGGCGCCGCUGGACUGGAGCUGCCGGAGCCAGUGAUGCCGUCGGACAUGAUGCCACACUUUGAGGACGUAGCGAUCAUUCCUAACCCCGGGGAGCGCGCCGAGGCCAUGCGCCAGCUGAUCAACCGCCUGCAAACCGCCAACCGCCUGCUGCUACAAUACAUGUUCAAGCAUAUGGGACACAUCAUUCAUCUUGUCAGCCGUCCCAGCCUCUCGUCACCCUUUCCCCGCUGGACUCUGGGUAAAGACGUGACCAGCCCCCAGCCUCCAGCCUCUUGUCACACCUCCAAGCCUUUCCCCGCUGGACAUUGCUUCGAGACGUGAUGAACAACAACAGCCUCCAGCAUUUGCCACACCUCCGAGCCUCUCUCCUCGUCAUUUGCCCGGUGGACCCUGGACGAGGAGGACGUGAGGAAGAGGAGGUGAAGAUGAAGACGAGGAAUAAGUGGUUGUACCGAUACGAAGGCAUGACUCUCCAACGGGUCACCUGUACAGCAAGAGCAGGAGCAAGACCGCCAGCCCGCCUCGGCCCCUCAGCCCGCCCCAAAGCUCCCUCCAUGGCCUCCUGCAGGGCUUGAGGUGGUCAGGCUCCUCACAGUGCUGCCCCACGCAGUGCCAGGGCAGUGCCACACCUGUAAUCUGCGGCGCCAUGCCCGGUCUGAGGGCGCCGCUGGACUGUGGCUCGGGAUUUCUCCCCAGCCAGGCCUUUGUACAGCAAGAGCAAGAGCAGGACCGACAGCCCGCCUCGGCCCCUCAGCCCGCCCCAAAGCUCCCUCCAUGGCCUCCUGCAGGGCUUGAGGUGCUCAGGCUCCUCACAGUGCUGCCCCACGCAGUGCCAGGGCAGUGCCACACCUGUAAUCUGCGGCGCCAUGCCCGGUCUGA